rnacentral:rRNA from 1 species
CACGUAGUUAGCCGGUCCUUCUUCUGUAGGUACCGUCACGUUAGCUUCGUCCCUACUGAAAGCGGUUUACAACCCGAAGGCCGUCAUCCCGCACGCGGCGUUGCUGCAUCAGGCUUGCGCCCAUUGUGCAAUAUUCCCCACUGCUGCCUCCCGUAGGAGUCUGGGCCGUAUCUCAGUCCCAGUGUGGCCGGUAGCCCUCUCAGGCCGGCUACCCGUCGAAGCCUUGGUGAGCCAUUACCUCACCAACAAGCUGAUAGGCCGCGAGCCCAUCCCUGACCGCCGGAGCUUUCCACCCCAACCCAAUAGAGUCGAGGUCAUAUCCGGUAUUAGCAGCUGUUUCCAGCUGGUAUUCCGAAGUCAAGGGCAGGUUGCUCACGUGUUACUCACCCGUUCGCCACUCGUGUACCCCCGAAGGGGCCUUACCGUUCGACUUGCAUGUGUUAAGCACGCCGCCAGCGUUCGUCCUGAGCCAGGAUCAAACUCU